AAAUUACCUUGGGAAGAAAAAGGUAGGAGAGAAAAAAGCUCAAAGAUGGCAUUGGGCCUCAUUUUGUGAGGACACUCAAUCUUAAUUUAGAGAAAAAGAGAAGAGACUUUUUAUUGAGUGUAAGAAGCAUGAGAACUGGAAAGAACAGAUUUUUCAGACAAGCCUAGUUUUGUAAGUUUAAAGGAGAAUCAUGCUUGUGUUUCGAUGCAGGUGGGACUGUCGAUCAGGUGUAUGUGUUUGUGUGUCUGUUUGUGUCUAUAAAUCCACACCCAUUUUUCACCAGAAACAUCCAGGAAUACACUUCUGGCAAGAGCAUGGACUAGUUCAGGAUGGGGACAUGACAUCACUUGGGUGCAGACAUAUGAGGAAGGUCUCUUUCAUAUUCAAAAAAGUAACAAGCCAUUGA
rnacentral:lncRNA from 1 species